rnacentral:rRNA from 1 species
CUGGUACAAUGCGAAGCGAAGCAGUGAUGUGAAGCAAAUCGCACCAAAGCCAGUCCCAGUUCGGAUAAGAGGCUGAAACUCGCCUCUUUGAAGUCGGAAUCGCUAGUAAUCGCAGAUCAGCAUGUUGCGGUGAAUACGUUCCCGGGUCUUGUGCACACCGCCCGUCAAACCAUGAGAGUCACCAACACCCGAAGUCCGCCUUGGCGGCCUAAGGUGGGGGAGAUGAUUGGGGUUAAGUCGUAACAAGGUACC